CAUAUUUCAGAGCUAAAAUCAUAUAAACAAAAUAAUAAAUAUUACUUCCAAAUCCACCUUCAAAAUUUUAUUACAAAAAAAAUUAUCCGUAUAAAUAAAUUUAUUGUAACCCAUCUCUUCUUAUUUAUAAACUGCACCUUGAUCUGAUUUAAUUUAAAAUUAUAAAUCUUGAAUAUUAAAAAUUCUUUUAAAAUAUUCAACUACGACGAUAUACAAAUUUAAAAAACAAGUACAAUUAAUCGUGGACUAUCGAUUACAGGACAGGUUCCUCUGAAUAGACUGAAAUACCGCCAAAAUCUUUAAUUUUCAAGAACAUAUCUAAUACUAAUUUAACUUAAAACAUUUACAUUUAA
rnacentral:rRNA from 1 species